CCUCAUGGCUCAGACGGUAAAGCGUCUGCCUGCAAUGCUGGAGACCUGGGUUCGAUUCCUGGAUCAGGA
rnacentral:tRNA from 1 species